AACUAGGUCCUUGUUGAAGGCCUUGGAACAAGUAUUCGUAUUUGCCCCUUCCAUUUCAGGCAAAAUGGAAGCUCCCGCAGAUGGAGCUCUGCCUGAUCUGCCGUAGAUUCCGGGGACUGUUGGACAGUGACUUCUGGAACAGACACUCUUUGAAUUUUCUUUCUAUGGGAAUUGCAUAGUGCUGCGUUCGACGUGCUAAAGGAAACAUUACACUGAUAGGCAGAAAGAAAGAGAGGAAGAGAGAAGAGAGACUGAAAGGCAAACAGGUAGUAAAGUAUUUCUAUUUUCCUAAAUUUAAUUUCCCUAAAUACACAUUAAAUAGUAUAUUUUAUUGGAUGUCAUGUUAUAAAUUAUAAACUUGUUUUUCUAAAAGUUUAAAGAAUGUUUCCUCUCUUCAAUCCUGCAUGUGUUGGAUGUUGAUU
rnacentral:lncRNA from 1 species